ACGGUGCUGAAGCAACAAAUGCCCUGCUUCCAGGAAAAGCCUCUAAGCAUCAGGUAACAUCAAAUCGUACCCCAAACCGACACAGGUGGUCAGGUAGAGAAUACCAAGGCGCUUGAGAGAACUCGGGUGAAGGAACUAGGCAAAAUGGUGCCGUAACUUCGGGAGAAGGCACGCUGAUAUGUAGGUGAAGUCCCUCGCGGAUGGAGCUGAAAUCAGUCGAAGAUACCAGCUGGCUGCAACUGUUUAUUAAAAACACAGCACUGUGCAAACACGAAAGUGGACGUAUACGGUGUGACGCCUGCCCGGUGC
rnacentral:rRNA from 1 species